UGUCUGCAUGUGUGCACUAGUGUAUUUUUGUCCAAUGUGUGUGUGUGUCAAAUGGUGUUUUCUGUUACAGCUCAUAGUGCUGUCAGCAGAGGAUGCUGCCGCCGUGUCCUCUUCCUUUUCUGAGCCGCCGAUGAAAAGGCUCCCGUCCUAAUUACAUGAUCCACCAGGCUUCUAAUUCGCCAUACUCUUCUGAAAUGACAUUUACUAAUUACUCCUUCCUUUUUUAGGAACAGCUUUCUGGAUUUGAUCCAGGCUUCCUCAUGCUCAUUGUCAUGUAGCAACAAACAAGUUGGCUGUUGUUGCAGUCACAGCCUAUUUGAUUUAAACUCCUUUCCUGGAAGAUCAGAGAUCAUACUUAAGGAGAGACCAGAGAAUUUCAAAGAUGAUGCAUGUGUCAUAGUGGGAUAAACAACAGCUUAAGACAUGAUGAGGCCUUGCUGAGCUGGAACGGACGCUGACAUGUCUUGCUGACAGUCUCCAAUGUGGCUUGAGGGCUUUGCUCCCACGGCUGCUCCCUCUCAACUCAUGGCUGAUUCUCCCAUGUCAUGAUUGGUUAGCCAGCCUGCCAUUCAAAGCUCAUGAGUGGGGGAGUGGGAGAAACUGGACCCACCAGACACUGGCUACAUGAUGUACUGCCAGUACAUGGAUACUACUGGCAGUGGUACACAGUAUCCAACCUUCAAAUUACUGUACAUGUGGUUAGUGUUAAGCAAUUGGAAUUUUCUGACAAAUUAACAGUUUUUUGUCUUGUUAAUAGAAAUGUCAAUCUGUCAUUUGUAUAAACGCUUUCAACCCAUGUGUAGAAAUGUUGCCCUGGACCACUGAGUCUUGGUUACAUGCAGGAAGUCUGGGCUUGAGAACAUGUAGAUGACAUGACUGCGUAGGUAAGCCUUCACUGACCAGAAAGACUAAUUUACAGUUUUCACAUCAGCAGCUAACCACACAGAUUUACCAGACUGUCUGAUUUAACUUACAUGGCGAAACAGAAACACAUUUGAUAUCCUUAACAAAUAGUGUUUAGGAUAUAUGAAACCCCCAAAACACCUAUCAACUUAAAUUCCUAUUGUGUUGAUGUAAUCCCCUUCUAUCUGGAAAAAGAAAUGCAGCUUUUUACUUCACAUACAUGCUUCUAUUUUUUGCAGCCACAGAUGAUACAGUGCGUUGAGUACUCUAUUUUUGGUGCAGGACAUGAAUUAUAGAGCGAAGUGGCCAACAAUGUGUAUUGCAUUCCUUUUCUACUGACCUGAAUGCACUGAGGGAGAGACGCAUGGAGAGUGUCUGUGAUGAGUGAUCAUGAGAAAACCUCUGAGUGUUGGUGGGCCAUACCAUGGCAGAAUCCUGGCUCUUGGCAGCAGCCCAGGCCAUUGUGAUUUGUGCUCACUGCUGCCUACAGGGUCACCACCUGGCUACCGCUUCCUCCAAUCUCCCUGGGUUACACAGAGUGCAUCUACAGCAGGUCUGUAAUUGAAUUUCACACAUGUCAGAGUCAGCUUAACUGUGUUUUCUGCAAGGUGCGUGCAACUUGGAAAAUCAAAUCUUGAUAUGCUUGCGAAUAACCAGGAUGUGGGAGAGUAUACUUGAGCUCCUAUGAACACAUUUAAAUAUGUUGCUCAUAAUGCAAUUCUAAGGAUGUUGCAAAAAAGA